rnacentral:rRNA from 1 species
UGGGGGAUAUUGCGCAAUGGGGGCAACCCUGACGCAGCAACGCCGCGUGAAGGAUGAAGGUUUUCGGAUUGUAAACUUCUUUUAUUAAGGACGAAACUUGACGGUACUUAAUGAAUAAGCUCCGGCUAACUACGUGCCAGCAGCCGCGGUAAUACGUAGGGAGCAAGCGUUGUCCGGAUUUACUGGGUGUAAAGGGUGCGUAGGCGGCUUUGCAAGUCAGAUGUGAAAUCUAUGGGCUCAACCCAUAAACUGCAUUUGAAACUGUAGAGCUUGAGUGAAGUAGAGGCAGGCGGAAUUCCCCGUGUAGCGGUGAAAUGCGUAGAGAUGGGGAGGAACACCAGUGGCGAAGGCGGCCUGCUGGGCUUUAACUGACGCUGAGGCACGAAAGCGUGGGUAGCAAACAGGAUUAGAUACCCUGGUAGUCCACGCUGUAAACGAUGAUUACUAGGUGUGGGGGGUCUGACCCCUUCCGUGCCGGAGUUAACACAAUAAGUAAUCCACCUGGGGAGUACGGCCGCAAGGUUGAAACUCAAAGGAAUUGACGGGGGCCCGCACAAGCAGUGGAGUAUGUGGUUUAAUUCGAAGCAACGCGAAGAACCUUACCAGGUCUUGACAUCCAACUAACGAAGUAGAGAUACAUUAGGUGCCCUUCGGGGAAAGUUGAGACAGGUGGUGCAUGGUUGUCGUCAGCUCGUGUCGUGAGAUGUUGGGUUAAGUCCCGCAACGAGCGCAACCCUUGCUAUUAGUUGCUACGCAAGAGCACUCUAAUAGGACUGCCGUUAACAAAACGGAGGAAGGUGGGGACGACGUCAAAUCAUCAUGCCCCUUAUGACCUGGGCUACACACGUACUACAAUGGAUGUUAACAGAGGGAAGCAAAACAGCGAUGUGGAGCAAACCCCUAAAAACAUUCUCAGUUCAGAUUGCAGGCUGCAACCCGCCUGCAUGAAGAUGGAAUUGCUAGUAAUCGCGGAUCAGCAUGCCGCGGUGAAUACGUUCCC